CUCGUAGCCCCGUAGUCGCAGGUGCUGAGCUCCGCUUUCGAUGUAUAUAAAAUGCCACAUCACAUAAUAUAAUGAGCACUUAGUUCAUCCAAACGAAACGUGAAACAUACAAGCGACAAUGAAAGCCUUCAAUUUACUUCUACUGCUUUGCUUGCUGUACUGCAUUGCGGUCGCUCCAAGCUACGCUCAAAACGAUGACGACGAACAGGAUAUAUGUGAUAGUAUAGUAGUGGACGUCGAUGCAUUAAAUGGAGUCCUUUGAGAAAUAAACAAUUACAUUCUUA
rnacentral:lncRNA from 1 species